UCCCUCUUAGCUCAGUUGGUAGAGUCCGUCACUCGUAUGUACGUUGAUCGUUUAGAAUUACUGUACUUAUACAUGACGAGAUCAGUUGUUCAAAUUGGCUAGCGGGAA